CCCAUCCCUACCCCCUCUCCUUCUCGCCUGACUCAGCCGACAGCAGGAUGGGAAUGAAGGGCGCCCCACCAGCGUCCUCCAAUUUCCCGCUAUUCAGCUCAGACCUGAGUAGCAGCAGGCAGCCGAAAGGAUUUGCAGCUCUCUCCCAAAACAGCCCUCUUGGCCACCUCCCGCUUCCCACAUGGGCAAAGUCAGGACCACACCUGAGAAGGAGCCAAUUGGAGAAGACCCACCUUGGACCCUUCCUGGAGGAGAGGCAGUUCCCUGGCUGCCAGCACAAAGGCCAGGGCUGGGCCAACGUGCCUGCAAGGUCAGCAGCCACUUGGCUCUGGAAGCAGCUGCAGAUGUGUGGCCACACCAGCACCAGGGGACCCUAUUGUGCAUCUAUGCUGGGCUGGAAGACUGCAAAACCACUUGGCAGAAGACAUAAAUGAGAAAUCCUGUACCAAGUGUGUUCAUGCCCCGACCACAUACCACCUGCUCCAGACGGAUGCCCUCUCUGUUGCCCUCCCUGGCUCAGAUGCUCCUGAAAGCAGAGUCCGGGAUCCAGGCCUAGGGACAGGCACAAACUUAAGUAUCUACAUGGGUUGAAUUGUGUCCUCCCCAAGGCUAUGCUCAAGGUCUAACCUCUCAUUCCUGUGGAUGGAUCUUACUUAGGAAGAGGACCAAGUCCAGAGGAGCUCCCAUAGUGCUUCAGUGGGCUCUAACCCACUGAUGGACUUCCUUAAAAGAAGGAAGAUUUGGACCCAGAAACACUUCGGGAGACCACAAAGGCCUCAUAUUGGAGUAAUGUAUCUAUAAGCCCAAGCAUAAAAAGGAUUGCCAGCAUCACCUGGAAGCCAGUAGAGAGGUCUGGCCCUGACUCUCCCAAGAGCCUUCGGAGGGAACCACC
rnacentral:lncRNA from 1 species